UACGGAGGGAGCUAGCGUUGUUCGGAUAUACUGGGCGUAAAGCGCACGUAGCGGCGCCGUAAGUCAGGGGUGAAAUCCCGGAGCUCAACUCCGGAACUGCCCUUGAAACUGCCAGUGCUAGAAUCUUGGAGAGGCGAGUGGAAUUCCGAGUGUAGAGGUGAAAUUCGUAGAUAUUCGGAAGAACACCAGUGGCGAAGGCGACUCGCUGGACAAGUAUUGACGC
rnacentral:rRNA from 1 species